rnacentral:lncRNA from 1 species
CGCAGCUGCCCCCGGCGCGUCCGAAUCUAGGGCUUGAGAGGCCUAUACGUAGGGUUUAAGACAGGGAACCGCGAAGCAGGACGAGCGCUAUGCAGAGAUGCUCGGACAGAUUGCUCUGGGAGGAAGCUGCAGCUGAAACGGAUGCGGUCGCUGUUGGCUUCUCCAUAACGAGAGCAACGUUGGCUCAGGCCGCUCCGCACAGCGUCAAGCCCGUUUUUUGCCACCUUUGCUCUUAAUCCCAUGGCGCAGGGACGCCCGAGGCUCGCGCGCAGGCGUCUCUCCGCGGAGGCAUCCCUGGGAGAGGGGGGCGAGCCGCUUCACGGACCUGGGCGCAGGUGGCAGCUCCUCGUGCAGGAACGUUUUUGGAAGCUUUGUUUUCGAAGGAGCGCUCACUCCUGGGGCCGCUCGCAGGGUUGAAAGCGAUGCCCUCGCUUCCCUUCCUGACCGCUCCUUCUGCCGAGCUCCAAGGGGACUGUCAGCGUUGUCAGAGCAUCUCCCUGCAGAAAGGGGAAAAUCCUUUCUAAGAAAAAUAUGCAAAGCAAAUAACCGUUCAAGCAACUUCUUACACGUGUUGCUGGUUUAUCCCCUACGCGGUGAGCGAGGUCUGCGCUGGUGGCCCGGCCGACCACGUAGGGCGACGUCUCUCUCUCUCUUUGCAAUAUAUAUCUAUAUCUGUAUAAAAAAAUAUAUCUGUCACCUUUGUGCACUGCAUUUUGCAUCGUCUCCCUUUUUUGCAUCCUGCCCU